AAACUUUUAACAACGGAUCUCUUGGUUCUGGCAUCGAUGAAGAACGCAGCGAAAUGCGAUAAGUAAUGUGAAUUGCAGAAUUCAGUGAAUCAUCGAAUCUUUGAACGCACAUUGCGCCCGCCAGCAUUCUGGCGGGCAUGCCUGUUCGAGCGUCAUCUC
rnacentral:rRNA from 1 species